CUCGUCUUCACGCAGGUGUUUGUCAAUCAGCUGAUGACCGCUGAUUGCUGCUUCCGCCUCCUCCUCCUCCUCCUCCUCCUCUUCGUAUUUAAUCUUCCUCCACCUGAUAGUUCCGUGAUGUCACUUUGAGGAGAAGCUGCACGAGCUGUGGAACGAAAAAAAUAAAGACUACUAACUAGUGAAACUGUUCCGGGAGGAGGGAACAUGUGGCGCGAAUGCACCAACCGCCCUAAAACCUCAAAAAAGAACGAGGGAACUUUAAAAAAAAGAAGAGAAAAGGAAAGAAAACUCCCGCGGCGUGACGUCAGACGCCGAAAAGGUGGCCGCGUGCAUCAGCUCCUGUAUAGAAGGCGCUCCAGGAUGGCGUGUUCGAUCUGGUCCAGAUUGGUGGCCCGUCCAGAAUGGAAAAACCUGCUUCCUGCUCACGGAGACCUGGUCGGACGCGCCAUAUACAAAAGCCUGAGGUUGUCAGAAAUAGAUUGAUCUUCAUGAAGAUCGUCAAAGAGUAAGGUGUGAUUAUUUAGUUCUGGGUGGCCGCUGUGUCCCCACUCUUUCUUGGCCGCUGUGCCUACAUCUCUCUGCAUUGUCCAACAUGGCCACGUUCUCUCUCUUCUCCUGCUUUCCAUCUGUCAGAUAGCUGAGGGUUGUACAUGGAGCAUUUGCCACAGGUUGGUUUUGUAUGUUCCUGACCACUUUAUUGGGUGGUCUGUAAAUCUGGUCCUUGUUGGUUAUAUUUUUGUGGAACUGCUGAGCGAGUGAGGUGACUGAUGGAGUGUUUGAGAUUCUCUCUCUGAAUGAACGGGUUGUGUGUGACUGAGAUGCCUGGAUUGAAUAGUUAAGAUGGUGUGAGAAUAUGAUUAUGUUCAGCAGUUCACAAUAAAGUAGAUCUGGUGUCUUGAAGGUCUUAGAUACUUGAGAAGUUAUAAUGCACUAACAUUUCCUUUUUAGGUCCGUCUACAAAGGGUGAGUCCAUAUUUUCUUAUGUCUUCUCUGGAGGGGGGCUACCUUCUUGCCCUCCAUGUGUGCUAGGGUUUGCAGAGUAGGGGAAUAAACAAAAGAGAACUUGUUUGUUGUGUUUUUUUUAAAGUGAAGGUACUUAGGUGUCGGCAACUGACUUCCUGGUCUGGCUGCUCACAGCUAACUACUGAAUUUACAUGCAAAGGUAAGAACACGCCUCUCUAUGGAGGCGUUUUCUUGCCCCUGAACCACUUUUUCUUUCCAACUGUUACGCAGGCCGCGGGCCAUCGCUGUUCCGGCCGCCGUGUCGAUCUGUCCUGGCCCUCCUCGUGCCUUUCCUCACUUCUAAAAGGAAAAAAAAGUUUUCGUUAGCACUAAAAUAUAGUGAUGUUGGAGGACCAGAUCUUUAAUAUGAGGUUUAAAUGGAUGUUGGUGUACAGUCAAAGCUAGAUGGUAGGAAUAAAGUUAAUGUUGUGCCUUGUACGCUCUGUCACAAGGUUUAGACUUCUUGGCCGCUGUGCCUUUUUUUUUUUUCUCUUUUCCAACGUGGCCAUUAAUCUACCAUUAGCCCUAGAACGUUAAAGUAGAUCCUGGUGAUCUACAAACAUAGUACCUGGCUUUAGAUAGCAGCCCUGCCAUAGCCUUAGUAUGGCCAUUACGUCCUUUAAUGCAAGUAGGCCAUGAUCGCUAACUGUGCCCGCGCCUUCGUGAUCUACUUGUGUUCUUGUACGUGUGGCCUUGCGCGUAUAGUCAUCUUAGAUAGACAAACAUGGGUGCCUUCCGCGUCCAUGCACAGUAAGUCAACUAACCUGUACUUUUCUUCUAGCAUCAGUCAAGAGGAGCAACGACAUCCCUGCAUGUCCACCUUAAUUAGAUUGCGUUUUAGUUAAGGUAAAAUUUCAAAUGUUAAGUAGUUUAAUUUAGUGUGUGUGUGUGUGUGUGUGUGUGUGUGUGUGUGUGUGUGUGUGUGUGGGGGGGGGUCAAAUGUUGACCUUUCAGGGUAAGUAUUAAAGGCCUUUGCCACAUGAUCUUUGUGGGUAAAUCGUGUCCACUCAUUUAUAAGUUAAGUUAAUUUGCAUCUAAACAUUUACAUAAUGGCAUUACAAUAAUAUCAUUUGUUUUGCGUUACUGAGUGCAAAGGCCUUUAUUUACACACUGACACAUGCCAAGACUGCCGUCAUGGCCUCUCUCUCUCUGUCUCUCUCUCUCGCUGUCUCUCUCUCUCUCUCUGUGUCUGUGUGUGUGUGUCUUGUCCGCCUGUCCUUUGUCUUUCUGUGUGUCUCUGUCUGUCUGUCCUGUGUCGGAUUUAGUCACUUUUUAGUCUCAACUUAAAUGGAUGAUUUUAAAGUUGAUUAGUCUUGAGGCGUCCAAUUUUGAAUUCUGGUACCUUAUUUUGAAAUGGCUUUAAUUUAAAAAUGUAAUUUUGGUCUUGAAUCUGAGUUAUCAUAGUUGCAACUUGGACUGUUGACAAAAGUUCUAAAGUUCUUUCAAAGUCUGUAAAAAUGUAGUAACUGAUUAUGAUGAGCUAGACCAGGUCUUCCUUUAUUCUCCACUGGUAAUUGCUUUGAUAAGAUAACUGGUUCCUGAUUUGAUUAAGAAGCUAAACUUUUGAUUUAUAUGCAAGUGUAGUCACAUUAGAUUGUAGGUGUUAUUCAGCCCAUGGAUAAUAUUAUGAUAUACUUUAAAUCUGGCAUUUGUUGGCACACUUUUGAUAUCCAUUUAAGUCUUAAACUUAACGCACUGCCAUCAGCCUUUGUAGUCGCUAACUGAAAUCAAAUUCAAUAUUAACACUGACUUGUCUCACUCUGCCAAGUUUAUUUCCCUCUAAAGGAGUUGAACCUUUUGUGUUCAUAGUCUUUUUGCGCGUCAUGUUGGGAGGCCUCCCAGCAGGGGAUUUUUAUCUUCCCCUGCAAAACAAUGUGUUACUCGUCUUAGGGAUGCAGGGCUAUCAUCUGCAUCGUUUCUUUCAUAAAUUAGGUUGUAGGUUUCAGGAUUAGAACGCGUUUCUUUUCUUUAGGAGGACACAAACCUGGCAGAGAGACAACUCGGAUUAUUUAAGUGAAAGUGUUGGAACUUUUUAUCUUUUGAUACUUGAAAUAAAACCUUUUUAUUCUGUGGGCUGCAUUCAGACAGAAAUCAGACAGUAGUUGGCUUCAUGUUAAAGACUGCUGUACAAGUACCCUCUUGUAGCAGGAGUGAGCAGCUGCAGCUUUUUCAUUUAUUUUUGGUGGUUUGAUUUGUUUCUUGGAUUUACUUGGUGUCUGGAGCUUUGUGGUUAACAGUGAUCAUGUAAACGUGUAAACACAGGUGUCUUUUGUCUCUUAUUUGCGAAGCUGGCAGCUGGUUGAAAUGAUAGGACUUUAUGGCUUACCCAAAGUGGGAUUUUUGAUAGAGCAAAGGGUUAACACCUCACCAUACACUCGCUAUUUCAGCGAACAAGUGUCUGUAGUCCGUUAUUACCCAUGACUUUCUUUCAAAUUUCAUAUUUUAGGCAGCUUGUAGAGUCUUUAGGAAGAUGCUUAAUCCCAAUGUCUUGGUUGGUUGCAUGAGAAACUUCUAUCUCUUAGAUGUGUUGGCGAAGUUCCUCCUCUGAUUGUUGUAGACUUGCCCUAAAGUUUCUCUCUGCUUUAAGUCUUGUUGAACUAUGCAUUAAAUGAUUCCUCCAACUUGUCUCCAUAUCAAUUGUUUUCUCCCAGCAGACUUCCACCACCCACUGCUGCUGUUGCCUCUGCUAAAGGUAGCCGUAUCCUGAUUCACUGCGUCUUCAUGUGUUUGGGUAAGAAGUGUCAUUAGACUACUAACAAUGUAAACACCUUUUAAAUGCUUGAUCUAAUUUACCCAAAUGGUUCAUCAGUUUAGGACAAAAAGUCAUUGAAUUUGACAUUGUUGGGGUCAGUAACCUGACCUCUAAAUGUUUGGGAAACAUGCAAAAGAUCGCAAGCUCUCUGCAUGACCCAACAGCAUCGAUGUUUGAGUUAUUUCAUUGCUCAAUUUUUAAAUCAGUCAAGCUUUUAUGAGCUGGAUCUUCUUCACACAACAGAGAACAAGGUAAAUAGAGUCGACUCGUAACAUGGUAAGGCAUUUUGUCUUUCCCCUUCUUCUCUUUGUGUGAGGAAAUCUGGCCACGGAUCCUGACUGAGUGGCAUACCAUGACUGUGCAGUCUACAAAAUCAGACAAGGAUCCAUCUGAUUUUGUGACUCGGCCUGUCAUGAUAUGCUUUUAUCUUCCUCCGAAACAAAGGAUUGGAAUGGACGGGUUUGUAGUGUAAAUCACAUCACAUGUAGAUGAUGAAGCAUUUGUUUAAAUUGGAGUCAAGCAUUUUCAGGCGUCUGCUUUGUCAAUACUCUGGUGCCACGUCUUGCUAAACACACGAGAAGCUCUGAAUUGUGAAACUGCUGCCUCUUGCAGAUGUUACAACAGCAAUGGUUGUUGAAAGGCUGCAGGGAGAGAAAAUUAGAUCUGAGGACGGGAAAGUGGAAUUGAUUUCAUGCUUAGCAAAAUGAGGGUUUCAGCACAGGACAUUUUUGUGGCGAAGCUACAGAAUCAGAAGGAACGUUUGUCUGGGCAUCUGGGAGAUUUACAGUUUUUCAUGCAGACAACCAAGACAUUGAGGUUAGCAUCAUCCCAAAUGGCUGGUGAAGAUUGCUUGUAACUGUCAGUGUAGGACAGGAAAGGCAGGUAUAGGUUAGGGAGGGCAUCCAUCGGUGAGCUCUGACUGGAUGUGAGGACCUGUCACACUUGACCAGGGAUGAACGCUGCAGCACAUUCCUGGAUCAGAGGACUCCAUGUUGGACACCAAACCUGGCGAAGUCCUGUCCUGGAUGGCUGCGGUGAUGACCUAGCCCAAGAUGAACCAGCCCUUCUACGACGAGGACUUCGCCCAAGAUGAACCAGCCCUUCUACGACGAGGACUUCGCCCAAGAUGAACCGGCCCUUCUACGAUGAGGACUUCGCCCAAGAUGAACCGGCCCUUCUACGACGAGGACUUCGCCCAAGAUGAACCGGCCCUUCUACGACGAGGACUUCGCCCAAGAUUAACCCGCCCUUCUAUGACGAGGACUUCGCCCAAGAUGAACCGGCCCUUCUAUGACGAGGACUUCGCCCAAGAUGAACCGGCCCUUCUAUGACGAGGACUUCGCCCAAGAUAAACCGACCCUUCUACGUCGAGGACUUCGCCCAAGAUGAACCGACCUUUUCCCCGGGAUGUCUUCAGAUGCUGGACCUUGCCAAACUGUACUCGUUAAAUGGACUUUACCACCUCCGUCCCCACUGACCCACAACCACACAUGACAAAACACUGUACAUGUGAUGCAUCACCCCCUCUGCAUGACCCAACAGCAUUGAUGUUUGAGUUAUUUAAUUGCUCAAUUUUUAAAUCAGUCAAGAUUUUAUGAGCUGGGUCUUCUUCACACAACAGAGAACAAGGUAAAUUGAGUCGACUCGUAAAUAUGGUAAGGCAUUUCGUCCUUCCCCUUCUUCUCUGUGUGUGUGAGGAAAUCUGGCCACAGAUCCUGACUGAGUGGCAUACCAUGACUGUGCAGUUUCCAAAAUCAGACAAGGAUCCAUCUGAUUUUGUGACUCGGCCUGUCAUGAUAUGCUUUUAUCUUCCUCUGAAACAAAGGAUUGGAAUGGUCAGGUUUGUAGUGUAAAUCACAUCACGUGUAGAUGGUGAUGGUGUACAGACACUGCUACUUUCAGCCUGUAAUGUUUGACAUUGAAAACUUGUAUUUAUUGCCUUCUUUAUAUCAAGUAAAACUUUUGUUCUUAA